AUAGUACUCCCACCGUCCCAAAAUUCCUGUCUUAGAUAUGUCUAGAUUUGGAUGUAUCUAGUCAAGUUUUAGUAUUUAGAUACAUCCAUUUCUAAAACAAAGUUAAGACAAUAAUUUUGGGACGGAGGGGGUACAAA
rnacentral:pre_miRNA from 1 species